GUAGUACUCCCUCCGUUCGGAAAUACUUGUCAUCAAAUGAAUAUAACGGGAUGUAUCUAGAUGUAUAUUAGUUCUAGAUACAUCUUUUUUAUCCAUUUUGAUGACAAGUAUUUUCGGACGGAGGGAGUACUUG
rfam:Triticum aestivum genome assembly, contig: Triticum_aestivum_CS42_TGACv1_scaffold_347220_4DL